GAUGAACGCUAGCUACAGGCUUAACACAUGCAAGUCGAGGGGAAACGGCAUUGAGUGCUUGCACUCUUUGGACGUCGACCGGCGCACGGGUGAGUAACGCGUAUCCAACUUUCCCAUUACUGUGGGAUAACCUGCCGAAAGGCAGACUAAUACCGCAUAGUCUUCGAUGACGGCAUCAGAUUUGAAGUAAAGAUUUAUCGGUAAUGGAUGGGGAUGCGUCUGAUUAGCUUGUUGGCGGGGUAACGGCCCACCAAGGCAACGAUCAGUAGGGGUUCUGAGAGGAAGGUCCCCCACAUUGGAACUGAGACACGGUCCAAACUCCUACGGGGGGCAGCAGUGAGGAAUAUUGGUCAAUGGACGGAAGUCUGAACCAGCCAAGUAGCGUGCAGGAUGACGGCCCUAUGGGUUGUAAACUGCUUUUGUAUGGGGAUAAAGUUAGGGACGUGUCCCUAUUUGCAGGUACCAUACGAAUAAGGACCGGCUAAUUCCGUGCCAGCAGCCGCGGUAAUACGGAAGGUCCAGGCGUUAUCCGGAUUUAUUGGGUUUAAAGGGAGCGUAGGCUGGAGAUUAAGUGUGUUGUGAAAUGUAGACGCUCAACGUCUGAAUUGCAGCGCAUACUGGUUUCCUUGAGUACGCACAACGUUGGCGGAAUUCGUCGUGUAGCGGUGAAAUGCUUAGAUAUGACGAAGAACUCCGAUUGCGAAGGCAGCUGACGGGAGCGCAACUGACGCUUAAGCUCGAAGGUGCGGGUAUCAAACAGG
rnacentral:rRNA from 1 species